rnacentral:rRNA from 1 species
CUGACAUUAGAUACCCGCGUAGUCCAGGGUGUAAACGCUGCAGACUUGGUGUUGGGGGCCCUUUGGGGGCAUUCAGUGCCGGAGAGAAGUUGUUAAGUCUGCUACUUGGGGAGUACGUCCGCAAGGAUGAACUUAAAGGAAUUGCGGGGGAGCACCGCAACGGGAGGAGCGUGCGGUUUAAUUGGAUUCAACACCGUAAAACUCACCAGGGAAGACUGUUACAUGAAGGCCGAGAUGAAGACUCUGCUAGAUUUUUCAG